rnacentral:rRNA from 1 species
GACGAACGCUGGCGGCGUGCCUAACACAUGCAAGUCGAGCGAAUGAAGUUCCUUCGGGAAUGGAUUUAGCGGCGGACGGGUGAGUAACACGUGGGCAACCUGCCUCAUAGAGGGGAAUAGCCUUCCGAAAGGGAGAUUAAUACCGCAUAAGAUUGUAGUACCGCAUGAUACAGCAAUCAAAGGAGCAAUCCGCUAUGAAAUGGGCCCGCGGCGCAUUAGCUAGUUGGUGAGGUAACGGCUCACCAAGGCGACGAUGCGUAGCCGACCUGAGAGGGUGAUCGGCCACAUUGGGACUGAGACACGGCCCAGACUCCUACGGGAGGCAGCAGUGGGGAAUAUUGCACAAUGGGGGAAACCCUGAUGCAGCAACGCCGCGUGAGUGAUGACGGCCUUCGGGUUGUAAAGCUCUGUCUUCAGGGACGAUAAUGACGGUACCUGAGGAGGAAGCCACGGCUAACUACGUGCCAGCCGCCGCAGUAACAC